rnacentral:rRNA from 1 species
GACGAACGCUGGCGGCGUGCUUAACACAUGCAAGUCGAACGAUGAAGCUGGAGCUUGCUCCAGUGGAUUAGUGGCGAACGGGUGAGUAACACGUGAGCAAUCUGCCCUUGACUCUGGGAUAACUGCGGGAAACUGUAGCUAAUACCGGAUACGACACCUUGGGGCAUCCCGGGGUGUGGAAAGAAUUUCGGUCAAGGAUGAGCUCGCGGCCUAUCAGCUUGUUGGUGAGGUAAAGGCUCACCAAGGCGACGACGGGUAGCCGGCCUGAGAGGGUGACCGGCCACACUGGAACUGGGACACGGUCCAGACUCCUACGGGAGGCAGCAGUGGGGAGUAUUGCACAAUGGGCGAAAGCCUGAUGCAGCAACGCCGCGUGAGGGAUGACGGCCUUCGGGUUGUAAACCUCUUUUAGCAGGGAAGAAGCGAAAGUGACGGUACCUGCAGAAAAAGCACCGGCUAACUACGUGCCAGCAGCCGCAGUAA